UACGUAGGGUGCGAGCGUUAAUCGGAAUUACUGGGCGUAAAGCGUGCGCAGGCGGUUCGUUAUGUCCGUUGUGAAAUCCCCGGGCUCAACCCGGGAACUGCGUCCGAUACUGGAAGGCUUGAAUCCGGGAGAGGGAUGCGGAAUUCCAGGUGUAGCGGUGAAAUGCGUAGAUAUCUGGAGGAACACCGGUGGCGAAGGCGGCAUCCUGGACCGGCAUUGACGCUGAGGCGCGAAAGCCAGGGGAGCAAACGGG
rnacentral:rRNA from 1 species